rnacentral:rRNA from 1 species
AUACGAAGGGAGCAAGCGUUGCUCGGAUUUAUUGGGCGUAAAGGGUGUGUAGGCGGUUUGAUAAGUUAGAUGUGAAAGCCCCGGGCUCAACCCGGGAAUUGCAUUUAAGACUGUUGAACUUGAAGUUUGGAGAGGUUAGCAGAAUUCCCAGUGUAGAGGUGAAAUUCGUAGAUAUUGGGAAGAAUACCAAUGGCGUAGGCAGCUAACUGGUCAAAACUUGACGCUGAGGCACGAAAGCGUGGGGAGCAAACAGGAUUAGAUACCCUGGUAGUCCACGCCCUAAACGAUGUGUGCUCGCUAUCUGUACGUUUACGUAUGGGUGGCCAAGCUAACGCGAUAAGCACACCGCCUGGGGAAUACGAUCGCAAGAUUAAA